UACGUCCUACGGGGCGCAGCAGUGGGGAAUAUUGGACAAUGGGGGAAACCCUGAUCCAGCGACGCCGCGUGAGUGAAGAAGUAUUUCGGUAUGUAAAGCUCUCUCAGCAGGGAAGAAAGAAAUGACGGUACCUGACUAAGAAGCCCCGGCUAACUACGUGCCAGCAGCCGCGGUAAUACGUAGGGGGCAAGCGUUAUCCGGAUUUACUGGGUGUAAAGGGAGCGUAGACGGCGAUGCAAGUCUGAAGUGAAAGGCGGGGGCCCAACCCCCGGACGGCUUUGGAAACUGUUUGGCUGGGU
rnacentral:rRNA from 1 species